CAAGUCUCUCUUUGUGAUUGAUGCUAAAUACUUCGUCAACUGUUUUGCAUAGAUUUGCAACCCUUGCAACUCGGAUGGAGCAGUACAUCCAGGGUCAGUCUAGGGAUUUGGUUGACCAAGCAUAUACAAAAUUUAUUCUGAUUUGAAGGAGGCUGCAUAUGCUGAAGGCACAAAAGAGCUUUGGUUGCUGCAGCAAGGUGUGUUGUACGCACAAAAUCCGCAUAUACCAUCCUUUGAUGGAGAGUUGUUAUUGCUGCAGUAGAGAGCUAAAGAGGAGAAAUGCAAUGCAACCAUGGAGAUUGUGCGAAAAAGAGCUAAGCAUGGAGAAAAACCAAUAAGAUCAUUUCUUUCCUUUCUUCUUGAUUGUAGAUAUAUGUUUUUUCUAGUUUGUAUAAUCUUAGGUAGUAUAGUAAAUAAUAGAGUAGAAAA